CUUUUUAGAUCACCGAAGUCAAGCACCAUUGGGCGCGGUCAGUACUUGGGUGGGUGACCACCUGGGAACACCUCGUGCCGUU
rnacentral:rRNA from 1 species